rnacentral:rRNA from 1 species
AGAACGAACGCUGGCGGCAUGCCUAAUACAUGCAAGUCGAACGAAGGCUUCGGCCUUAGUGGCGCACGGGUGCGUAACGCGUGGGAAUCUGCCCCUUGGUUCGGAAUAACAGUUGGAAACGACUGCUAAUACCGGAUGAUGACGAAAGUCCAAAGAUUUAUCGCCAAGGGAUGAGCCCGCGUAGGAUUAGCUAGUUGGUGAGGUAAAGGCUCACCAAGGCGACGAUCCUUAGCUGGUCUGAGAGGAUGAUCAGCCACACUGGGACUGAGACACGGCCCAGACUCCUACGGGGAGCAGCAGUAGGGAAUAUUGGACAAUGGGCGAAAGCCUGAUCCAGCAAUGCCGCGUGAGUGAUGAA